rnacentral:rRNA from 1 species
AUGCCGACAUGCUUGAAGAUUUUGAAGAUGAAACCGACCUCAACCUGUGCAGCCACGAUGAAGAAGAAUAAGAUGCCACAUAACAUGAGAUCGAUGCAAAAGCGCAUAGAAAAGAUAAAAGAGGACCGUGAGGAGCGGCAAGGUCCCGACAUCCAGGAUACAGCAGGAUAUGUGGAGGAGGCAGAAAUCAUCUGGAGGACUGAUGAUUGCAUAUCUUGGAGCAGCAGUUAUUUCCCCCUCCUUUUGACUAUAGUGGUUGGAGUCAGUAGGUAG